UACGUAGGGUGCGAGCGUUGUCCGGAAUUACUGGGCGUAAAGAGCUCGUAGGUGGUUUGUCGCGUUGUUCGUGAAAACUCACAGCUUAACUGUGGGCGUGCGGGCGAUACGGGCAGACUGGAGUACUGCAGGGGAGACUGGAAUUCCUGGUGUAGCGGUGGAAUGCGCAGAUAUCAGGAGGAACACCGGUGGCGAAGGCGGGUCUCUGGGCCGAUACUGACGCUGAGGAGCGAAAGCGUGGGGAGCGAACGGG
rnacentral:rRNA from 1 species